AUAAUAAUUUCCGACCGCGUCAUAUAAUUUCUGCAUCCAAUAAAUAGCCAAUGCCGUUAUAAACGAAAGCAGUAAAGAUUCAGAACAGAAGCCAAAAUGUUGAAAUAUAUUUGCGUGGCUCUCUUCAUUGGUGUUACUAUUGAAAGUAGCUUUCAAGCUGAUACAGAUGUUCUAGGACCACCGCAGAGUGGGGAAGUACCUUCAGACGGCGACAGGAUUGCCAAAUAUGUCUCAUCGGGAUCUAGGGGACCUCUUGGACCAGGUAAUCAAGUAAAAGGAUCGCCAUCACCGUGCGGGGGAAAUGGUCAAAAUGGAGGUAAAGAUUCAGGACCUUCGCCGAAGGGACAUGGCCACAAAGAAAAAGGAACAGCAUGUUCACCGAAGGGACAUGGCCACAAAGGAGGGGGUAAGUCAUUCUAUAUUUUUGCUGCAGAGAAUCUGAAACAUCCCCUUAACCGAGGUUCUUAUAUCUAGCUUCCACAUCUCUGUUCGUCUCUAGUACCGUAGAAACAAGAUCUUAUGUUAAUUAUUACUUGAAAUAAUCAUCAUCAUCAUCAACGUCAAGGUAACAGCAAAGUGUGACGAUUCUUUUUUAAAUUCUGCCAUACACCGAUAUAGACGUUUCACUUCAAAAAUUCAAUUGUAAUAGACAAUGUAUUUGUCAUUAAAUGACAGAGAUGUCAGUUGUCAGUCAGUUCGGUGGCACAUAAAACAAAAACAACAUUGCGCGUAACCGAAAAUCGUGACGAUUUGCUAUAAAAUAUCUCAUACACGUCGAUAAAGAACCUUUUUAAGGGAAACUUCACUUCAAGAACUGCCAUAUCCUUUUUGAAGUGAAACUUCUGAAUGCCAGUUGUUGAUUGAUGAUGAAUAAUAAUGACUAAAUGCAAGCUUGACGAUCUGCAUAGCCCAGUGGUUAGCAACCCUACCUACUAAGCUAGAGGUCCCGGGUUCGAGUCCCGGUAGGUGCAAACAUUUGUAUGAUGAAUAUGGAUGUUUUUUUCCGAGUCUUGGAUGUUUAUAUGUAUUUAUGUAUGUUCAAGUAAGUAUAUUGUAUUAAAUAUCAUCGUCUUGUACCCAUAGGACAUGCUAUGCCUAAUUUGGGGCAAGAUAAUUUGUGUGUGUGUCAAUAUUUUUAUUAUUAUUAUUAUUAAUAAACCGCACAGUUUUCGAAUUAGUUUUUGGCUUUCUUUAUUUGCUUUUGUCGCGUUCGCUUUGCUUUAAUAUAAUUUAAUUGAUCAACAGAAAAAGGAACACCAUCACCGUGCGAGGGAAAUGAUCAUAAAGGAGGUAAAGAUUCAGGACCUUCGCCGAAGGGACAUGGCCACAAAGAAAAAGGAACAGCAUGUUCACCGAAGGGAAAUGGCCACAAAGGACACAAGGGAAAAGGCCACAAAGGUUAAUCAAGAAGUCACCCCUCCGGAUCUAACAUAGGUGAAAGGUGAUGACGUCGUUAAUUCAAAUCAAAUGUCGACUAUUUUAGAAUAACUUUUGUAUACUUACUUAUAAAUUAAAAUAAACUCAUUAAAAUUUACAAGCAUUAACUUGA